CGCGUAGGCGGUCAUGCAAGUCAGGUGUGAAAUCCCCAGGCUUAACCUGGGAACUGCGCUUGAAACUGCAUAGCUUGAGGCCGGGAGAGGAAAGUGGAAUUCCUGGUGUAGCGGUGAAAUGCGUAGAUAUCAGGAGGAACACCGGUGGCGAAGGCGGCUUUCUGGACCGGUUCUGACGCUGAAGCGCGAAAGCGUGGGGAACAAACGG
rnacentral:rRNA from 1 species